rnacentral:rRNA from 1 species
UACAGAGGUCUCAAGCGUUGUUCGGAUUCAUUGGGCGUAAAGGGUGCGUAGGCGGCGCGGUAAGUCGGGUGUGAAAGCCCCGAGCUCAACUUGGGAAUUGCAGUGGAUACUGGCGGGCUGGAGUGCGGUAGAGGAAGGUGGAGUUCCCGGUGUAGCGGUGAAAUGCGUAGAGAUCGGGAGGAACAUCAGUGGCGAAGGCGGCCAUCUGGGACAACACUGACGCUGAGGUGCGAAAGCGUGGGGAGCAAACAGG